UACGUAGGGUGCAAGCGUUAAUCGGAAUUACUGGGCGUAAAGCGUGCGCAGGCGGUUUUGUAAGUCAGAUGUGAAAUCCCCGGGCUUAACCUGGGAACUGCGUUUGAAACUACAAGGCUAGAGUGUGGCAGAGGGGGGUGGAAUUCCACGUGUAGCAGUGAAAUGCGUAGAGAUGUGGAGGAAACCCGGUGGCGAAGGCAGCCCCCUGGGUUAACACUGACGCUCAGGCACGAAAGCGUGGGGAGCAAACAGG
rnacentral:rRNA from 1 species